AUACCCUAACCAUUACCAACACAGCAACCCUAACUCACUACAACGGCACAGCAGCAGCAGCACACACUCCCUCCUUCCCAUCAGCUUCGAGCUUGUUGUUCCUCUCAACGCCAGCUCACUUAUUCCCUCACUUCCGUUCAGCUGCCGGAUUUCUCCUACCGCAUCGCAAGUUGGACCUUCGAAGCUCACUCCCUCACUCCUGCUCGUGCAACUAACGAUUCUGCAGUGGAAGCACAGUAGCCGGGCUCGCCUCCUGCCUCCGUCGCGAUGCUCUGUUCCACCGUCGCCGGCGCCAUCUUUGUUCCACCGUAGACGCAUGUAAGAGAUAUUGCAAAUUUCGUCCAUCAUAAGGUUCAGUCACCACCUAUCUUGAAUGGACAUUCAUUUGGAGUACUUAUCAUUCAAUAUUAUAUCUCCUCUUUGGGAAGCAACAACCAUGAAGUGGUCUUGUCUGGCGAUAUCUCUUUACCAAGCCAAUUGCUGCCUUCAAGGUGACACGCAGCUUGGCAGCAAAAGCUUUUCAAACCUCUCUUCCUCUUUGUAGAGAGACAUUUUUCUCAGCCACAAUGGAGGAUCAUAUUGUUAAAAGAUAUCAAGAGCUAAUAAAAGAAAGUUCGAGAUUGCCAUUGUUUGAUUUAAGAAAGCUAAAUUCAUCACUUCCGAUUCCUUCGGCGCCAAACUGCCCUGUCGAUGUCCUUGUUUUGGGUGCGAAAAAUGACUUCAUUGUGGAUGCCGAAGGACUAAAUGAGACCGCGAAAUUUUACAGUGUGCUGCCGGAUUGUGUUGAUGCCGUUGCGCAUGAUAUGAUGUUGGACGUUUCAUGGGAAAAAUGAGCAAAAAGUUAUUCUGUCAUGGAUUAAUGGUUUGGACAAGUGAGACUUUGAGACAGAGGACAUGUUUUUCGAUCUUCUCUUCUUUAGAUUUAAGUAGUUGUAGAUGAGCAAAGUUGAAGGUGCUACAAAUCUUCAACUUAAGGCAAUAUGGAAGGUUUCAACCAGGAUUUUCAUUGAGCCGUAAUCAUUCAAAAUUAUAUAUAUUUACAAAUUAUUAAAAUUAUUUCAUUAAGAAAAUUAAUUUAAAAC